rnacentral:rRNA from 1 species
UACGGAGGGUGCGAGCGUUGUCCGGAAUCACUGGGCGUAAAGGGCGCGUAGGUGGCCUGUGGAAGUCUGCGGUGAAAGCCCGGCGCUCAACGCCGGGUCGGCCGUGGAUACUCUCGGGCUUGAGCUUACGUAGAGGCAGAUGGAAUUCCGGGUGUAGCGGUGGAAUGCGUAGAGAUCCGGAAGAACACCGGGUGGCGAAGGCGGU